AUAUAUGGCUGACAUACUGUACCUUUUCCCAAGUACACACAAUACAUCAUGACCUAAAUGCAGCCCACGCGCCAAAAAGCACUAACAUCAACACACACACGGGCACACAAACAUGAACUCACACACAGACAUAAAAACAUGAACACACUCACACACACACACACACACUAACUACUAAAUUAGAUAGCGAUUUUAAGUCAGUAGCAGCACGGCAGGGGAUGGCAUAAGCACGCUCCGCUCCGUUUGAAGUGUCGUUCUUAUCUGCCUCCCUUCCACUCCGAAACGAGCGCCCCCCCCUCCUCUCCCUCCUCCUCUCCCUCCUCCUCUCUUUUCCUCUCCUCUCCUCUAUCUCUUCCCGUUCUAACACCCCCACGUCUCUUUUCACUUCUCCCACACUUAUCUCAGACCGGACUAGUGCUCUUGUCAUCUCCUUUCCUCCCCCUCUCUGUCUCUUCUCCCUCGCUCUCUCUGCUAUCUCUCGCUCCUCUCAUCCUCUCCUUUUCCUCUGUCAGUCUCAAGCCAGGGCUGCUGGAGGCAGUCUUUCUCCUCCCUCGCUCCUUCUCUCUGCCGCUCUCUCUCUCUCUCUCUCUCUCUCUCUGUCCUUCUGUCUCCCUCCCUCUUACCCCCUCCUUCUCUCUUUCUCUGCCUCGCGCUGGCUCCGUCCCUCCCUCUCCCUCUCCCUCUCCCUCUCUCUCUCUCAUUCGCUAUCAGUCAGGGUAGCGGACACACACUGCACAGUAACACUCUCCCACCCCUUGUGCAGGGGAACGGCUGGAAUCAAAGACCCGCUUCAUGUGGAAAACCGGACCACGGGAAAAGGAAGUCUAAAAACGAAAGAGGAAGAGAGACGACAAGCGACAAACGCAGAAAACACAACUGACAGAGGCGGGGGGGGGGAAAGAAAAGAAACGAGACCACUGAAGGAACGCAGAGUAACUGAAAGAGAGGACAGGAGAGGACGAGAGAGAAACCACGACAAGAGGGAAUUACUAAAAAUACCCAACCGGGUUUCCAGAGGCUGCCCUGUCAUCUACCUCCCUCUCUCUCUCCCUCUCUCUCUCUCUCCCUCUCCCUCUUUCUCUAUCUCUCUCUCCCUGCAGCUCUUCCUCACGGCUUUCGAUACUCUGAAUACCUGUUCCACGGGAUUAAAAUGACUUAAAAUUCAAUCAGUGGACGGAAAGGGGUGAGAAGGAGGGAUGAAAAAAGAAGGGUUUGUCCUCUGAAGAGAUUCAGCGCAGUACAGCUGGCGAGAGCAGGAAAGAGCGAGAGAAAGAGAGAGAGAGGGGGAACGAUUGAGAGGGUGCUGAGAGAGGUGUGGAAGAACGCCAGAGAAAAGAAGCAAGAAAAAGAGAGAGGAGGACCAGAGAGAGAGAAAGAGAGAGAGAGAGAGAGAGAGAGGGUCUCAUCUUUUUCUCCAAGGGGAAUAACAGUUUAGCCUGCUCCCAAAGGACUAGCUGACACCCAGAACCGACGCAAGCGGGAAAGACAGGAGUACCUAUGAGACCUCGUCGUCUGCUGCUUCUUCCCUACGAUCUGCCUCUCUCUCCAUCCAUCUGUUUUCUUUUCUUCCUCCUCUCGUCUCCCUAGAGGUUUGAGUUAUGCUAACUGGCAUCGGCCCUGCAUAGCAAGUAUGGAGGAUCCUUACUGGGUGUAAAAAAGAAAACAACAAAAAAUAAACAAGAGGAAAGAAGAAAAAAAAAAACACACACCAUCAUUUCCAGGAAUAUACAUAAGCCUACAUAAACAUAUGUAACACUAAAUAACUGAAUCAAUGCCUUGAAUGGAACCACAGCAAGGGGGGAAAACAAGAGGAUGACCAAGCCUAAAACAGGAGGAGGGGAAAGGAGCGCGAGGAAGAACAACUGAUGGAAUAAACGAGGGGGAGCUGUUGAACAGAUGAGCCUGCGCGGGAGGUGGAGAACGAGGGGAGCGAGGGAGUGGAGGAAGGGGGACGAGCGAGCACAGGGGGCAGCAGAGCUUUGGAUCGCUGGUCGUUAGCAGGGAGGGGGAGAGAAAAAAACACACGACCGCAGGAGGGGGAGAACAGACAUUUUUUUAAAGAACACCACGAACAAGCACAGAAGGAAGAAAAGAGAAAAGAUGUCUUGACUGUCCUCUGCUGGACAUGUUUUAAUGGAGAGUGUGUGAGGAACACACAUCCACUCACCUGUACACACACACACACACACACACACACACGCACACACACAGGCAUACAGUGGAAUUUUCCAUCUGGACUCACUCAUUCGACCCAAAUCCGGUCUUUGAUGUUGCAGAGUUGGAAUGCAAACACACACACACACACACACACGUAUACACACACUUGCACUCGUCAAUAUACACACACUCAUACCAGCGAAGUACUGCCACCCUCCCCCCUCCAGCCCCCCUACCAGAAGAUACACACCUGAGCCUGGAUUUACACGUGGACGGCGCGCUCACACACUGCUGCCUCUCUCUCUCUCACACACACACACACACACACAGAGACAGACACACACUGCCUGACAUGUGGAGCUGAUUCGCACCUUGGAUCAACACAGACAGCAAAGGUCUGUGGAUAACCCCCUACUAUCAUGCCACACUGCCCACCUCCCCACCCCUCCCAAAAGUCACGCCCGUCCCUGACUCAAUACGUCCAUUUCACUCGUUCACACACCACCACCUCCUCCUCCUCCUCCUCUUUCUCCUCUUCAUCCAUUUCCCCAUCCUUCUCCCUCUCCUCACGCACGUCCAUUCAUUCCAGCCCACCUUCAUGCCACCCACUCUCCUCCUCUCUUCAUCCUCAUCCUCCUCCUCCUCCUCACCCGUGGCCCAAGCUCCCCUGCGCCUGUCCAUCUUCAGCCGCAGCU